rnacentral:tRNA from 1 species
UCCUCAGUAGCUCAAUGGCAGAGCAUCCGGCUGUUAACCGGAGGGUUGUAGGUUCGAAUCCUACCUGAGGAG